GGGGCACUUCCUCCAGACGCCUCUCCUCCACACCCCUUCCAAAAGCAAAAAGAAGCCUCGAAAGUGAAAUGUAUCUGGAAGGUCUGGGCAGAUCACACGUUGCUUCCCCCAGUCCUUGUCCUGACAGAAUGCCCCUACCAUCACCCACUGAGUCUAGGCACAGCCUCUCCAUCCCUCCCGUCUCCAGCCCUCCGGAGCAGAAAGUGGGGUGUAGAUCAGAAACAAAUUGAAGAACAAAAGGAAGAAGAAAAAAUACGGGAACAGCAAGUGAAAGAACGAAGGCAGAGAGAAGAAAGAAGGCAGAGUAACCUACAAGAAGUUUUAGAAAGGGAACGAAGAGAACUAGAAAAACUGUAUCAGGAAAGGAGGAUGAUUGAAGAAUCACUGAAGAUUGAAAUAGAAAAUGAAUUAGAAAUGGAAAAUGAAUUAGAAAUGAGUAAUCAAGAAAUAAAAGACAAAUCUGCUCACAGUGAAAAUCCUUUAGAGAAAUACAUGAAAAUCAUCCAGCAGGAGCAAGACCAGGAGUUGGCAGAUAAGAGCUCAAAAAAGAUGGUCCAAGAAGGCUCCCUAGUGGACACGCUGCAAUCUAGUGACAAAGUCGAAAGUUUAACAGGCUUUUCUCAUGAAGAACCAGAUGACUCUUGGUAACCAUGUUUGCUGCCCAGCUUCUAACUUACAUACCAUGAGAAGUUACAUAACAUUUACUCCUUU
rnacentral:sRNA from 1 species